UACGUAGGGUGCAAGCGUUAUCCGGAAUUAUUGGGCGUAAAGAGCUCGUAGGCGGUUUGUCGCGUCUGCUGUGAAAACUGGAGGCUCAACCUCCAGCCUGCAGUGGGUACGGGCAGACUAGAGUGCGGUAGGGGAGAUUGGAAUUCCUGGUGUAGCGGUGGAAUGCGCAGAUAUCAGGAGGAACACCGAUGGCGAAGGCAGAUCUCUGGGCCGUAACUGACGCUGAGGAGCGAAAGCGUGGGGAGCAGACAGG
rnacentral:rRNA from 1 species